ensembl:rRNA 5S_rRNA 5S ribosomal RNA
GUCUACAGCCAUACCACCUUGAACAUGCCCAAUCUCAUCUGAUCUCAGAAGCUAAUCAGGGUCGGACCUGGUUAGUACUUGGAUGGGAGAAAGAAAGGUAGGUUAGGAUCUUUAGUCU